CCGGACAUGAUUCACAACCUUUUGCAUUUAUCUGUCAUAAAAGCCCCUAGAUUAAGGGUCAAAGUGAAAGAAAGGAAUUAUUUCGCUGGCUAUUUGUGGUAGUUUCACAAAUCUUUCCAGCCUUGAGCCUAAAACCCGCUAGCUUAUCAAAUCCCAGACAGUAGUAACACUAGCUUGUUUCAGCUGUGACUACUAACCCACUACUGUACAGAAGUCACUUGCCCGCAGUUGUUUUUCUGGUUUCUCUUCUCUCUCCCUAAAGGAGCCAUUGAAAUUUGGUGUAAAAAGAGUAGCAGUGGGUGUAGGGUGUCUCAAGGCGAAUGUGAACAGCUGAGGUGUGAUUUCACAGGCUCGCUCUGCCCUGUCACGGCCCUGAUUGGGUUGGACAGCAGGCAGAGGAGAGGCCCUGGCUUCUAAAGGACACCAACAGGUGGAGGACCGCGGGGCAGAGGGGGGAAUAAGGGAGGCUGAGCGCUUAAAAAAAGCCGGGAGCAUGUGGCCAUGUCUGGGCAGAAUCCACCAGUCAUGCAAAGAGGACCAUACACUGUAGCACUCAGCAGAAGAGGAAAGAUGGGGAACAGAAAAGCAAAUGGAAGAUUUUACACCUCUGCCACUGGAAAUGGUGCUGAUAAAGGAAAUGGAGGUAUGAGCGUGUUACGGGGUUUUCACCUGAGGUGUCAUAGCUUGUCUUUGAUCUACUGUAUAUCAGUCUCUAUAUCAAGAAGGAGUAAAAAGGGGGCAGUUUGCCCAUUUUAGCUUCCCAAGUGAUGGAAUGAGAAACCUUCUGUUCUAUUUAAAUGUGAGAAAGAUGUCCGAGUGCUAGAUGUGCUAGUCCUCUCCUGCUUGGCUGGCUAACCUCCAUGUACUUCCUUGUCUAUGGACACUUGUCAACACAAAAAUAAUGAUGAAAAGGAGGAAAUAACUACAUACAGGUACAUUUAGAUUGUCUUUGCUACUUGAGCUGUAAUAUUACUAAUUCUACCGAGAGUAUUUUUUAUUUUUUUUAAGUGAACAGCAAAUGUUUGAAUGAAUGCUAAAUACUGCUUUUUUGUGUUUCUGGACAAUAUAUUUGCAUCCACUUUAUAAGAGUUAUCCAGCAUUUUGCUUCGACUUUCUCUAUAACUUAAUGUAGUUAUGAAGCAGAAAAAUAAAAUAAAUAUAUUGUUUGAAAAAUUUAUCACUUCUCUAUGUACGGCCUAUGCAUUUUUUCUAUUCUGCAAGGAAACUAAAAUUUGCCCCUUGUGCUGACAUGCUUCCUUAUAUGCCCAUAUGAAUAUUCAAGUUAUGGAAUGUAAGGAAGUGUGUGGUUUCAGGGGGAAUCCAUCACCACAGGACUGAAGCAUGGAAAUAAAACACAUCAUGAUGGGUAUAAAAUGAUUCAUUAAACCUAAACUGAACAGUUUUAACCCCAAAGUUGAUAUGAAUUUGUGUCAUUUUGUAUUCUAAGAUGACAAGAAUCAUUUGAGCUGCAUGAACUAUUCUGGAUCAGGUGGUAAAGCUGUUGUUUUAGUGAGUUGGCUGGCCACAGGCACACGUUUGGGGUAUCCACACCCUGAUCAUCUCUCACUGACCCAUAGCUACUGAAGAUCCAGGGCAGAUUGACAGAGUACAGCUGUCCCUCACUUCACUAAACCCUAUGGGUUUUAUUAAAGAGGGCACUAGAGUAUACUUUUCCCAACUAUCAGCACAUUAAACAGAAAGGCAGUAAUUAACAAUGGUAAACUUAUGUGGCAAUGUUCACACACUGAAUAGCACAGAAAAUUAAAUUGACAUUUUAUUGAAACACAGUUUGUAAAUGGGGCUAUCUGUUGCCAAGCUGAUUUCAUUUUGUUAUUUUUAAAUGAUUAUUAAAUUUUUCCUUUAUCUUGUCAACAGGUAAGCAGCAAGAAUGAUUUUCUGAACAUUGUCAACAUAAGCUCUGUUCAUGUUCCUCCCUCUGCCUGCCGUUCUCUCUUGUUGAAGCAGCACGCCUUGCUGUGGCUGGUCAAAUGGAACCAAGUCAGGUGUUUCUGCAAGGUUUGGUCCCCUUCAACCAGCUACUGCGUCGUGAAUACAGCCAACAUAGAGCAAAGAUUAUAAGAGAGUCAUUCAGUAAAGUCUGAUAAUUAUCAUUUAAAAUGUACUAAUCCUAAGUUUUUCAUUAUUUAAUUGUCUUUUAUUCUUCUAAAAUUCAAUAAACUAUUUUCCUUUUCAAUGUUGUGUUCAUUUUCUCCUUCUUAAUUACAAUAGUAAUUAAUUAUUCUUUAUAUAAUAAUCAUUCAGUCCCUGAGCUUGUCAUUCAUUGCCCUUGUGAAAAACAAGGGUGCUUAAUUUGUGCAAUUUCUGAAUUGUUUUGAAUGUGUACUUACAAUAGUCUGUUUAAUUAUAUUUUAUAAAUUAUUCAAUAAUUAAAUAAUUUGCGUUUUAUGUUAGAAAAAUUAAUAGUGAAAGGCGUACAUAAAAUGUCGAAUUUAGUUAGAAUCCACUCAGAUAAUGAUUAACAUUUUUUAAAGGUUAAGCGUUUUGUUUUACUGACUGAUGAAGGAAAAAAAUAUGAGUUUUCUUUUGUACCCCAUUUAUGAGAAGUGCUUGAGUUUAGUUUCGGGUUCGAGCUCUCCAUUAACAGCAAGCCUUAAAGCACUCAGAUACCAAAUAUGAACGCACUAAUAUAGUCUGUCCGUACCUGCAUUAUGCACAAUGUCACUGUGUGUGCAUGUGUGUGUGUGUCAGAUGGACAAGCAGUGUUUUUACAGGACAAGUGCUCUCAAGCAUCACUGACACUGCUGUGUAACAAACAGAGAAGAGAUGAGACUGCCAGAGGUUCGGAGAUUGAAUGAGAAGAGCAAGGUCACUCCUUCUCCGACUGUUUAUGGAUUAUAACCCAAGUCUGAAAUGAUCUGCUUGGUUUUAUUGGAUACAGUACAGCAGAAGCAGGCAGACACCUACCUUUGUCUCUGUUUCAAUAACUAUUCUUAAACUAGAAACAUUAAUUAAUUGUAUAAGACUGGUUCUCAACUGGUUCUGCAUCGUAAUGACAACAACACAAUAUCAAAACUGUUUGUUCAGCAAAAGUAACAAAAAUGUUACUAAACCGUUAAAAACUACUCACCCUCAGGUCAUCCAAGAUGUAGAUGAGUUUGUUUCUUUAUCAGAACAGAUUUGAAGAAAUUUAGCAUUGCAUCAGUUGCUCACCAAUGGAUCCUUUGCAGUGAAUGGGUGCCGUCAGAAUGAGAGUCCAAACAGCUGAUAAAAACAUCACAAUAAUCCACAAGUAAUACACACCACUCCAAGCACAGAUCAAGCAUUGCUUAUAAGAGAAAACAGUAUUUAAAAAAACAGUAACUGUUGGUGGAUUUUGAUGUGAGAAGACAACACACUGUAAAUCCCAGCUCAUCCAUUACACAAAAUUUUAGUGUAGGGUGUACACAAAUAUUCAAAAAAAUAAAAAAAAUAAUUUUGUACACUUCUUGCAAAAACACAUCCCAUAUUAGCUUGAUAUAUGUUUUAAUGUAAGUUAACAAGUGUUGAUUUCGGAGUUAACUGUACUAAAAUGUAUAAAGCCUAAUGUGUAUGUAUUCAUUGUUUUUAUCUUAAAAGGUAUUCUCACCAAAUAUCCUGAGGUAAAAUUGAUGAAUAAAUAAAGUGAUGAGUGUUUAUUUAUUUAUUUAUUUAUUUAUUGUGUUUAAUGUAUUACUG
rnacentral:lncRNA from 1 species